CCUCCUUUCUAAGGAAAUCGAAAAAAAUUUUUUCGAUUUAAAAAAAACCGGUAAUGUGACCGUCCUCAUUUCUCUUCUUUAAUGUCUCUGAGUAUCAAUUAAGGGGCCGGUAGCUCAGGUGGUUAGAGCGCACCCCUGAUAAGGGUGAGGUCGGAAGUUCGAGUCUUCCUCGGCCCACCAGUGUUAUGGGGGAUUAGCUCAGCUGGGAGAGCGCCUGAUUUGCAUUCAGGAGGUCAGCGGUUCGAUCCCGCUAUCCUCCACCAAAUUUGAGACAUUCAGCUUAUUUAAAUUGUGAAUAUUAUUAUUAUCAAUAUCUAUAUCCGAUUGUUUUCAGAUAUUUUUUUUGAAAACAAUCAAAACAAAAAUUUAAUUUAUUACAGAAAAAUUUUUUUCUGUGCAUAAAUCAAGCGUUUAAGGGCGAUUGGCGGAUGCCUUGGCACUGUAAGACGAUGAAGGACGUGGUAUACUGCGAUAAGUUCGGGGAGCUGUAUGCAGGCUUGGAUCCGAAGAUUCCG
rnacentral:misc_RNA from 1 species